rnacentral:rRNA from 1 species
GACGGAGGGUGCAAGCGUUGUUCGGAAUCACUGGGCGUAAAGCGCGUGUAGGCGGUUCGAUAAGUCGGACGUGAAAGCCCGGGGCUUAACCCCGGAAGGGCAUCCGAAACUGUCGAGCUUGAGUACGGGAGAGGAAGGCGGAAUUCCCAGUGUAGAGGUGAAAUUCGUAGAUAUUGGGAGGAACACCGGUGGCGAAGGCGGCCUUCUGGACCGAUACUGACGCUGAGACGCGAAAGCGUGGGGAGCAAACAGGAUUAGAUACCCCGGUAGUCC